AUUCCAGGAAGCGUUUGCACAUCCUGGCCCCAGAAGAUUUUGCGUAGCCUCACCAAGAGAAGAAGUUGGAAAGAAAAAAAAAGAAGUUGGCAAGGCAUCCAGAGGAGACCCCCCCCAGCACCUGGGUUCUCUGCCAGGGGAGAGAGGCCCUAGAAACAAGAACCAAUCCAGCAGCAACAAGCAUCUCUGGCAGUCUAUCAUUUCCCUUCAACUGAAAUCAGAUCUUCUUAAAGAAAUGCUUGGCUCUCAGACUGGGAACGGAAAUGU
ensembl:lncRNA chromosome 6 open reading frame 214 (putative)